ensembl:lncRNA
GUUGGGUUGGGGUUGGGGUUGGGUUGGGGUUGGGGUUGGGUUAGCGGUUGGGGUUGGGAUUAGGCUCAGGAUUGGGGUUGGGGUUGGGGUUAGGAUUAGGCUCAGGGUUGGGGUUGAUUUGGGGUUGGGGUUGGGAUUAGGCUCAGGAUUGGGGUUGGGGUUGGGGUUAGGAUUAGGCUCAGGGUUGGGGUUGGGGUUGGGGUUGGGAUUAGGCUCGGGUUUGGGGUUGGGAUUAGGCUCAGGAUUGGGGUUGAGUUGGGGUUGGGGUUGGGAUUAGGCUCAGGAUUGGGGUUGGGGUUGGGGUUGGGAUUAGGCUCAGGGUUGGGGUUGAAUUGGGGUUGGGGUUGGGGUUGGGAUUAGGCUCAGGGUUGGGGUUGAAUUGGGGUUGGGGUUGGGAUUAGGCUCAGGAUUGGGGUUGGGGUUUGGGUUAGGCUCAGGGUUGGGGUUGGGCUGAGGGUCGGGAUCGGGGUCAGGGCUGGGGUUUAGCGAAUGCUUUCAGCCCUCAGGGUUCGGCUCGGGUUGGGCUUUCGGGGUCCCCCGACCCCGCAGUCGGACC